CUAAUUGCCUGUGAGGACUCUCCAGCUUCUGGCACUGGAAAUUACCUUGUGCUGCUGACCCCUGGGAUUUCCCCAAAUAUGGGAAACUCGACUGCAUAAUUUGUGGUAGUGGGGGACUGCAUUUGCGCUCUCCCCUG
rnacentral:snRNA from 14 species